ACCUGUGCCUGUCCUCCCCGCAAAGUGAGAGCUCCUAAUUGGACCGUGAAACAUCCUCGCUGCCCGGAACCGCCCCCCGACCCAAAGGCCGCCGCUGCUAUUCAAAGAAUGUUGGGAACCAGAACCCAGUAAGAGUGUGUGGAGUGAGUAAACUGGCCUCAGCCCUAAGGCGCUGCUAUCUACAAAGCUUGCGUUAGUCACAAGAGGAACUUUAAACGUAUUGACGCCCGGCAUCUGUACAGACGUUCUGAUGUCCCUGGUACUGGCUGUGACCCUGCCCAGUAGUUUUUUUUUUUUUUAAGAAAAUGCAAAAGUUAAUCUAAUUGACUGCAUAGUGACCCCACUACCCUGAGGAUUAGUCAAGUCUGGUGAUUCUCUUAAGGAAGUUCCCUGGCUUUUUAAAACUAUGCCUACUUCAUCCUGAGUAACCCUGAAAAGAAAUGAGUAAUUCUCCUUACAAUACUUCCUCUUCGUCCCAGUCGGGCAUGGGGUUGUCUUGUUUACCUUAAAGAAAGCUGUAUAUUUAGCACUUGGCACAGCACCACCAGCACCUACCAGAGGCAGCCUUGUCCUCUCAUGCCUCCCUGCCCCUAGGUUACUAAGACUGCUUGGCACCCGAGUGAAUGGAUGGAUGAAUGAAUGAAUGGAUGAAUGGUCGGUCUGACCCACUACUUUGGUUAAUGGCUGGGUGAAAAACAAAAUAGGUGAGAAGGUUGCUGGCUCCUAACAGCCUGAAGCCACACCUGCUGAGAACUGGGUGGCCCUCCCCACAUUCCUUCUAGGCUUUUCUGAGGUGAGAGUAAAAGGCUUGCAUAAAUGUACAGACAACUGCACAGGCUGACCGGACGCCUCUCCCACACUGCCCACAGCUCACUUCUUGUGUGUGUACAAGCAGUGCUUGAACCAGGGCAGCCCCUGACUCUCAAGUGUCGGGACUGGCUCCAAAAUAAGUGUUCAGGCCAAGAGACAGAGAAUUUGAUUGCCCCUGGCUCCCCAGCCAAGGUCUGCAUUAAGCACUGUUUGCCUUAUCUCAGGUGUAGGGACAGUCCGUAAAAAGAAGGUCCUGGGUACCUCAUUAUUAAAAAUAUAGACAGUGCAACUUAUUUCUAGAAUAUGAUGGGAUAUAUCACGGUUAUAAUAACAUACUAAUGCCAGGAUUAUAGGAUUCCAAUAGCUUGACCCUGAAAAUAUCUUACUGGGACUGGUCAGAGGGAUCAUGGUUGAGCAUAUUAGAAACGACCACGUAAGCCGCUUCAACCCCCCACUGCUCCUAAGAUAAGUAGACUGUAGCACGCGCUGGCGGCUGAAACAGCUUCCCCCUUGUGAGGAGAUCCAGAGAGCCGUAUUCUGGUCCAGUUAGUUACUGGUUACGGGAAGAGGCUCCUCCUCCCCUUUCCCCAUAGCUCAAGGUCUGCUCACGCUCUAAUCAAACACCUUAGAUCGAUUUGACUGAGCAUGUUAUCUUCCUUCCCUGAAAACCAACGUAGUAGUCCGUCAAUGCUCAUUUGAAAAGUCACCUUCUCUGGGUGGGGCUCCCAGCCAUGACUGUCCCUUCCCUCUUUGUGGCCCCAAGUACCUACUAAUAACUGCACAUCAUCUAAAUCUAUCAAAACUUUCGAAAAGCAAACCCUUGUUUGAUUUCUUGUCCCCCUAGAAUGUGGUAUCGUAGCUCAGACAACGUCGAAAAAUCCUUCUGUUUCUCAACUAUCGUCUCGGCUAAGACCGGAGUCCUGCUGCCUCAAUACCAAUGUAAACACCCAUCUGCAGAGGGUGCCAGCUACAGUAAUCACUAUGGAACCUCCUUCUCUCUAGGGCCCUGAGAUCAAGUCCAGCUUUCUCAAUGGUCCAGACAAGGCAAGACCCACCCUUCUUUGGGGAGCACUGCCACAUCUUGCCCUCCCUCUGCUCAUGACCUGGUUUCAACUUUAAGAAACCAGAAUCCACCAGACAGGCCUUCCCAGCAUUUUCCCAGGAAAAUGGCUCCCAGUAGAAGAAAACCAAGGUUUGUGGCCAUUGGCUCUUGCCAUCUCCAUUCAACAUCUCCCUUGGUCACCGUCAAUUUCUUGUUCCGUGCCUGAUCAUUUCUGUCGUCAUGCAAACACACUGUGCACCUCUCGUUCCAAGAAAGCUGUCGCCGCAUCCUUUCACAAGGCAAUUGGGUGAGGCGGGUGUUGGAAGAGCUCUCUACACUCCGAAGAACAAUAAAGGAAGCAAAAAAGCAGGAAACUGUCUGAGGAUGUGCCUGCUAAAGGGAAAAGAUGGCGUGCACCAUGCAUGGGACACAAGAAACAAAGAAGUGCCAAGGGGAGAGCUCACUGCACUCACCCAGUGGGGCAGCCAGAGAGCCAGGACGACAUGGUAGAAAGGAAGCAAAAAGCCAGGAGGGGAAAAGGCAGAAGCUGUAAAGGCUUGAACUAGUGAGGCAGCACCUGCCUCUGAGGGUAAACACGGGUUAGGAAUGGGAGAAAGUGAGAGAUGAGAACCUACGAUCCAGAUGUCGGCCUUGGCAGCUGGGUAAGUGGGGGCCCUCUUUGGGACGGGGAUGGUUGGGGAAGGAACGUAAUAGCCUGGUACAAAUCCAUAGUCUGACUUUCUAAUUUUCUCUCUAAAUGGAGAUUUCCAAUAGACAACUGGAUAUAUGGAUCUGGAGGUCAGAACCGAAAGUAAAAAUCAGAGAGAAAUUAGGGGAGUCAAUAUAAACAAUACCAUAUACCAUAUGCACUAGCUGGGCAAGGUGGUGGCACGUGCCUUCAGUCCCAGCGCUCGGGAUCUGGAAGCAGAUCUCUUUGAGUUCGAGGCUUUCCUGGUUCACAAAGUGAGUUCAAGCCAAGAGUCUCAAAAUUAAAUAAGCAAUAGGAUAAAAGGUACUCCAUCUAUUGGGAUUUUCUAGGGAAAAAAGAGAGAGAGGGAGAAAGAACCCAGCAGUAGGGUGUGAGUGUAAAGGGGCUGUGGAGUUAGAAGGGAACCAGUUAACAGUUAGGGCUCUCGCUUGAGAAGUGAGGCCAAAGAUCAGGAGUUCAAGGUUAUCCUUAGCCUGGGAGUUUGAGGCCAGCCAAGACUAUAAGAGACCCUGUCUCUACAUAAAAGAACCCACUGGCUCAGUGACUUAGAAGGUCAACAAAUCCCCAGCCACAGGCCAGAGAUUUGAGUGCCACUGCUCCCUCCCUGCUGCCUGAGGAAGCAGGGAGGGCUCUUCCUCUCUAGUGGGCCUCUGGCUUUUCUCUGGGGGCCGUGAGGUAGCUGGAUGAAUCGUACACGCAUGUGCGCCUUCUGGGAGGUAAUCUUCACUCUGAGUCUACUGAGUUUAAUGUUAAUUACACUUCUAAAAUCCCUUCGCAGCAGCAUCUAGUGUUUAACUAAAGGAGUGGGUGACCACAGCUGGGUCAAGUUGACACGGAAGGUUAAUUCUCACACUCUGGUACUAGAUAAAAGUCACCCAGGGAGCAAGUAGAUUUAGGGGGAUGAGGGUGGCCCAGAGACAGCCCUGAAUGCCAAAUUACAGAGAGAAAAAGGAACUGGCCCAGGGGGAAGGAGCUAGAGGAUGCAGGAAGAAGACAAAGACGAUAAAGUCUCUCGGAAGCCAAUGGAAAGUGCUCCUGUUUAAGGAGGGGACUUCUAUGACAAGGGCACGGAACAGGAAGGGAACUGGAGCUGACAGGCAGGGCCAACUCCUUCAUUCUGAACAGCGAAAAGCAGGGAGUGCAGACAGAGGAUGAGAGCAACAGUGUCGGGGUCUCCUGCUGGUAUCUUUGUUCCUCUAAGAAGGGGAUGAUUAGAGCAAGCUGUCAUACUGGCAGAACUGAGGGAAUAAUCCAGACACGGUAAUGUGGCCAGUCCCUCAGAGAAAAGGACAAGGUGACUGCAGAGCCACCCUCUUGAAACAGACAUUUAUUACUCAGUGGGGCUUGGAAGUAAAACCCAGGUGAUAUUCUAACUUGAGGCAAGUUCCUCAGUUCCCCCAACUCCUUUAUCUCCUCUCCACAGGGUCCCCUGUGGCCCUUCCACUUCCUCAUCUAACCCAAACCUCCCCUUCAUCCCAGUCAUUAGCCCGCCCUCCAUCCCUUUAAUUACCGACUCCCAAGUACUCCACAAAUCCAGUUCCAACCUGUCUUCCCCCAGGAUGCCAUCAAAGAGGCCAGUCCUAUGAAAUGUGUCACAGUGCCAGGCAGUCAUUCAACGUGGCGAUCACACUGUUGCGAUUAUGUUUUAUUUAUGAUUGUUUGAUCAGUGCCCGCCUCCUCUGGAAUGGCAGGGUCAGUCAGCUUUCAAGGUGACAGUGAUGUCUAUCUGUGCUCCCCCACCUCGGUGUACAAGUAACUCCUGAGCUCUUAAAAGAUGGAUCCAUCGGGGCUGGGGAUUUAGCUCAGUGGUAGAGCGCUUACCUAGGAAGCGCAAGGCCCUGGGUUCGGUCCCCAGCUCCGAAAAAAAGAACCAAAAAAAAAAAAAAAAAAGAUGGAUCCAUUUAUUUUAUUUAAAUCUAAUUGAUUUAAAUGUAAACAGCCUCGAGGGAAUCAGGGACUGCAAUUCCUAUUUUAACCACUGUAUGCCCAGCACCCAAUGCAGUGUGCACACAUAGUGACUGGAGUUCAGUAAAUAUUUGUCCAGAGCUUAAAUCUGUAGAUUGGGGAUAUCGCUAGUUAAUUUAUAUCCAUUGUAUCUUUUCCAUAUAGGGGAAAAAUGUUUUCCACAGGACAAAUGUCAGGGGGUCUCCUACAGUUCCAGAGAGGUGAAUUUCACUUUUCAGAGCACGGUCCAUCUCAAGGGGAAGCUGGGACAACAGGGAAAACACCCUGGUCGUCUGAAUGGAAUUCCGUCUGUAAUCUUCUUGGGAAGUGCCUGGAGCGUGGGGAAUGCCCAAAUGUGCUGGUCCACAAGCUCCACUGAGAGCACAGAAGGGAACCAGAUGCUGGUGUGCCAUCACAGGAGAGGGCUCCUAAGCCGAGCGGCCUUAACCCAAAGCCUGAGAAAUAACAGGUGGGGGGGACGGCGAAUGGGAACCGGCAGGGCUUGGUAUGUGGAAACCCAGGUUGUAUGCGAUUAACUUAGUUAGUGCUUCCAACUGUCUGAUAAGGGGCAAUAGUCUUGGUUUUCCCAUUUUACAGACAAAGAGAACGGAGCUGAGAACGGUGAGAGGAGCUGAGUUUGUUGGCCCUCAGCUACGAGAACAGGGCCGAGGCUACCCCAGCGCUAUAAUACUGAGCUACCUCACCAGCAAAAUGUCCCAGGCGGAGCAAGCAACAGGCAAAAAGGACGUGGGGUUUUAUGCUGUAGAAAUCUUCCCAUGCGGUUAGGCUGCUGUGAAUCAUGUUUAUGGACGACUAAUGGCGCGGGAGUCAGCCAUGCUCUGACGAUGUCUCAGGAACCGAGGGAGGCGUUUUAUAGGAACUCUCAUCCCAUCUCCAUGUUGCAGGUGAGGAACUAGAACCUCCAGAGCCCUCGACUUGUGACUGUGACUAAUGGUCACGACAGAGCAGGACUCGACUCACUUCCGGAGAAGAGAAGGCUCCUUCAUGCUGGUUUAGUAGUGUGAGACCAACUGACUCAAUAAAGUUGACACUAUGGAGAUCUUCAUCUAAAUCUGCUCAAUUCACAACUAAACAGUUGGAGAAGGGGGCAUUAAUUAAUUACUACAGUAUAGACAGUAUUACCUUGAUUUGAAUAUUACCUGAAUUUGAACAACCCGACCAGAGUGGACGAGGGCUGGAUGGACCUCAGUAGUAACAAACUUGCCUCCCAUAUACAAGUGCCUGGGUUUGCCCCCAGCCCCACAGGAAGAUAAAAUAAGGAGAACAACCUAGAUGGGACAUACUAUUUCCUUCUGGCAUGAACUGGACCCCGAUGUGUAUGGUACAGCGAUGUGUUUUCUUUGUUCUACUUAAGAGCAUCCUUUUGAGAAAUAGGAAGGUUGUUUUCAGCCCGACUCCGGGUACGUUUGGGUACAGAAAUGUGCCCAAGAAGAGGAAGAUAUGUAUAAAUUCUUAUGUGAGUGUUAUGAUAUCACUGAUAUCCACUCCUCUUCAUCCAUUUAUACAAGAGCAGAACACACACUGGAAAAGCAGAGGCAGGAGGAUGACUGUUUGAGUCUAGCCUGGGCUACAAAAAGAGCUCCAGGCCAGCCUGGGCUACAAUGUGAAACACUGUCUCAAAAAAAAAAAAAACAAAAACAAAAACAAAAAAUAAAUGAAAGUAAAGAG
rnacentral:sRNA from 1 species